UACUACUACUACGCCGCGUAAACACCUGGAUAAACCACCGAACUCAGGUAGAAAUGAGUCACCUGCCAUUUGUUUUAAACCACUCAAUAAAAAAAAAAGAAUCACAGAAAAAAACUUUGGUAUCACAACCUCUAAAAGUCGCUGGAGGAGGACUGUGAAAAAACUGGCUAGGAGGAAAGGACAAGGAGGAAGACGCCUAUAAAAGGGAGAGUCAGACUACCUGAUCCACUUAGUCUUCUACCUGCAGUUGAAAAGCCCCUCAAAAUGGCCCGCCCAUUGCUCCUAGCCUGCCUCCUGCUGGUGGCGGUGAUGGCUACCAUGUCUGCAGCACAGGGAUACAACGCUCAGUACUACCCGAACAUCGCUUCCGGCUGGGGGGGCGUCUUCCACAACUCCUACCCCACUGGAAACUUCGGAGGCUGCCGCUACUGGUGCCGCAGCUCAUACACCAGACAGUACUACUGCUGCACCACACCGCAGCAAUCCUUCAACCAACAUGGCGGCUUCAACCAGGGCGGCUUCAACCAGGGCGGCUUUAACCAUGGGGGUUUCAACCAUGGCGGCUUCAACCAAGGUUACUUCUAGGCUCGUAUUCUCAGACGCUUUCGGCUCUCACAACCACGAUUUCUCAAGGCCACAAAGAAGAUUAGUCGUGUUCUCAUGAGUGUUUUUCUCGUUCACGGUGCAGGAGCCUUGUUAAACGAUCACAAUGAGCUCAUGAAACUACUGCCAUGGAAAUACCCGCAACCUCAAUGAAAGCCUUGUCAAAUGUGGGUGUGUAAGCCCCGAAAGUCUGGGCGUGUUUCCUUUGGUACCCUGUCGGACCGUGGUUUCCCUAACACCUGUUGCAUCCAGUUGUUGCUUUUGAGGCGGGACUCUUGAUGCCUCCAUUGAAUUGUUACUUUUAUUACAUGGAGGUUAUGUGACCACCAUUGUUCUCCUUUACUUUUUUUUUAAAUAGACGCUGCUAAGUUAUCCUUCAAAGUCAGUUUAGUUGCACGGUGAAUGUCUCUGUAGCACUCAGGUAGGGUUUUGAGUUCGAAGUUUUGUUUAUUCAUUCAUUAUUUUGUAAGACGUUAGCAUCUAUUAAUUAUAUCACUCUGCCCAUCACAUCACUUUGUUGUGCUAAAGUAAUUAUCUUUUUUAAUAAAUAUGACUGCAUCUGCUUUAUUAUUUUUCAUUUGAUAUGAAGAGAGGGAUUGACAAAGGCACAAGUAUACACCAUUAAUAACUA